rnacentral:lncRNA from 1 species
GGCAGAGCUGGCGACAGCAACUGAAGUUUACCCUCUACCACGAACAAUACAAGUCUGGAAUACGCUAAUGAACUGGCUCGCCUUCUUUCAGAUCCACGGAGGCACCCUUCAGGUCCUCUCUCCUUCCACCUUUCGACUCCUCAGACACCGUCGUAAUUCAAGGCUUUACCGAUUGCUGAGUUAUCUUAGUUUCAAGAAGAAUCUGAAGAGACUCUACCUCUACCUCUACCUCCCACUGAGUGACAAAUGCUUCGCCCUUUGAGAAGAUGAACAGGAUUUUGAUUUUUUUAAAUUUUAAUUCAAAAUUAACAUUUCACCCGUUUAAAAUUGGUCAAAGUCAAUUUAUUGGGUGAAUUAACGGUUAAACUAACAAAAAUCAUCCAUUUGGACCCCAAGUGCUAAUUUUUGAAAGGUUUGGGAUUGUGGGUUACACAAAAUGAAAGUUAAGGUAAAGUCUGCAAAAAAAGUGAUAGGUUUGGGACCAUUGCUACAAUUAUCACUAGGAGAUAUCAAAAUGCAUAUUUAUAUAGUGAAAUACAAUUAGAGAUGAAGGUGCACUAACCUGAGUUUUCAUCAAAUCCUUCAACUUGAGAAGCUUCUCAUGAAAAUGAUUCAAAGUUGUCUGCUCAUCUUUGUUAAUGUAUUUAUCCUUGGACAAAUC